GCCAGAUCAAAAACGGUAAAAUGUGUACGAUUGAUCACAGAUAGAGUUGUACAAGCUGUCAAAUUACUUUGUGGAAUAUUGUGCCCUGCCGCAUACAGUUUCAAAAAAUAUGCUUAAUGAGUGAUUCAGUGUACUUAGGAAACUCGUUGACCAUCUCAGCAGCCGUUCAAAUGGACCCUGGUAUCCCUGAAACCCACCAUCCUUGCGUCCCGAAUACUCUACUAAAUAACACAUAUUUGUUACUCAGUUUUAUUUUUAUCAAGUGUAGGUAAAAACAUGCCAACAAAACCGGAAAUGUGACGUCGCAAAAUGGGGUCGCUUCACGCUUCGGUAGAUGUUAACGUCCUCUAAAGAAACUUUACAAUGAAGUGAACCGUUCAGUUUCACACGGGCUUCAUCAGAUGUAUGUAUACGUGUACUGUUGGAACGGGUAUUGUGAUAGCUACUAAAUACUGGCAGCUUUGAAACUUUAAAAGGAAUUUGCGCCACAAUCUACAAUACGUACUUAUCUAUUUCCAGGAAAGCACGAAUCUUAAAAACAUGGCAGAAUAUUCUUGAUUUGUUCAAUGUUUCGAGAUAUUUGCACAAAUUUGUUGCUACCUUAAACUUUCAAUUACGUUGAUUUUGCUGACAAUAAAACUAAAACCAAACACUCGUAAGGUGUUAAAAAAAUCGAUUCGAGGAGGUUGUAGAUUUUGUUUCGCUGAUCACUGAUAUGUUAAUAACUCAAUUGCGCUAAAAGAUAUCGAUCGAUUACUUUAGUUAUGAUAAGGAUGGCACUAUGGGUAUAAAAUUCAAAGCAUUGAUGUAUACUCAUUCGAAAAUUUAUAGUUUCAUUUAAUGGGCAUAUCAAGAUAGCAACAAGAUUACUAGUUGGAAACUUUACCACAAUUGUAGUUCGGUUUGAUUUGGCUAACAAUUUGUAAUUCAAGGAUGUUUAUACGCUUUUAUUUGAUUAUACAUUAACGGGGUAUGGUAACUCAAGCUCUAAAUAAUCGUGUAUUCAUGUUCAUUGGGACACGACACGAAUACGAUACGACAUACCUUUCGUUCAGUUCAUUUUCGCAAUGAAAUUGACAGAAUAUAAUAUUUUUCCCAAAUCCCAUGCACUGAAUUUGCUUAUUUUAUUUAUAUAUUAAUGGAUUAUGCAAAGUCCCGCCUACAAUAUUUUUGCGUAUAAAGACGCCUUUUUAUGACGCGAUACGAAAACAUUUUGGACGGCGAAAGAGAAAACACUGCUGUUUGUAUCUUUUUUGUUUGUGAUUGCUAACGUGCUCCAGCACAGCAGUCGCUACAAAUAUGUUUUGCAUUUUGUAUAUACAUUUUUUUUGUCUGUUUAAUUUAACAUUAAAUUCUAAAUUUAAAUGUAUUUGUUUUUGGCUCCUUUUCUGUGAUUUGUCAGUUUUGUAAUUAUUUGAUGCUCGUAUAUAACUACCUUUUUUCGUUUCUUCUAUUACUUGUGUUAAAUAAACUGUUAGAUACAUUUUCUGAGGAUUUACUCACUACUCGUUAGCACCCCAACCCCAUUUAAACAGUCCGCUACAGCUCUUGAAAUAUUGUUCAUUCGUUUUAGGUAAAAUAGUGUUAGUUUUUUGUUCUUAUUUACUACCACUUAGUCUUCCUUAAUUCCUUUUUUCCCCAAAGUUAAACAUUCUACCGCCUUUCUGAAACUAAAAUUAUCCUUCGCCCGCUUUCUAACUGUAAAAUCUUUGAUGAGGUCAGAAUUUUCGACACAGAUUUUGCAGAAGCAUAAAAUUGUUAAGUUUAGAGGGUGUUGAACUUGGUAACGACCAUUUGAGUAUCUUAUAAAUUGAAGACCUAGUUUCUUGAUUUCGCGUUUUAUUAAAUAUUUACCGAAAACGCAAGCUUACGAAAACGAACCAACA